CGGUUUUCCUGCUGGUCCUGGUCGUGGCCGGGCAAGUCACGCCCAGGCAGGUUGUUGUUGCUGCUGGUUCUGCUCGUGCCCAUGUGCAGCAUCGAGUAUGCGGUCAACUGCAGGUUUGCUGCGCUACUGUCUUGUUCUCAUGUAGGAAGUACUGCAUGAUUUUUCAAGACUGCAAAGUCCAAGUCCAAUGUCAGUAUUGUUAUUUUAACCUUGCCAAAACCGACCUGCAUUUAUCAUAUAUCAUAUAUGGUUAUAAAUUCAUGGGAUCUUCUUGAAUGGGAACGAACAACUCUCGUAAUACUGUUGUAGAUGCAGAGUAAGCUCCUCCAUCUCACUUCUGAAAUAAGGUAAGAAUCCGAGAAUAUACCGUUACCACUCAUCACUUCUUUUUUUCCAGACACAGAGUGGACAGUGUACCUUGUGCUUCAUGAGUCAUACAUCACCUGAUAAGUACGUACUUUAUUUUUCACCCUUGAGUUUUUCCGUUCUACCAUUUGUAAGUGCUUCCAUCAUCCGAUUUGAUGAAACAUUUUGUGGAGAUAGGAUCAUACUCCAUGAUGCAUAUAGCUAAUUAAACUACUGCCCUCAUGACUCCGGAUAAUAUGCAGCAGGAUACAUAUUAGCUUUAAGUGAUUGACUAGGCGUUUUGUAAAUUCUUCCUUAGUCCGGCCAUGCUCCAGUUCUUAGGGGAAGUUUUAGGAAUGGCUUUACAUAUGUGUGAAGCAGUGCCAACAAAGGAAUUCUAAUUAUGCCCCAUCUGCACCCAUAAUUUCUUCCAAUACUUGUACAUGGAAUAGUUAUGAUCUCAGUUUAGUGUUUGUCCACACCUUUUUGAUGUGCACAUACUAGUUUUGUAGCCUGUUAUAUUAGUCGCCCAUGUGCAAUGUCUUUUGAGGGAUACCUUUUCUGAUUUUCUGCAUCCGUUGAGUAAAUUAAGCUGCCUUUCGACAACAUGCUUAAGUUACUUUUAUCAUCUGACUAAAUUGAUUUUAUCAUCUAAACUAAGUUGGUUACAAGAGAUGGUACUAGUUGCAUAUUAAGUUGCUUUUUGCCAGCAUGUUAAGGUUGUCUAAUGAUCUAACUAGUUGCUUUCCAUCAUCUAACCUAAUUUUGAGGUACAACCACAUGCCCCUCUUGUAUACUAAUUCUAAGUAAGUUCUGGCAUAAUGCUCCAUUGUAUUAGCUGAACUUGACUAACUCUCCUUCCUACAAAAAAAAACCAGCUGUACAACAGAUCAUGAUGCCCAUAGUCUGUUCAAUCCCUGCUCGAUUUCUUCUAAUAUUGCAUUUUCUUGUGUAGGAAAGUGAGUAGAGUGGUGCACAUCACUACUAGAUUUACUUUGUGUUUCAUCUUCUAGCUUAGUUGGACACCGAAUCAAAAUAAGUUGGGUCAUGAACACAAUUAAGUUAUUUACUGAAUCUAACUAAGUUGGCAUCUCAAGCUAUAAUUUUACGUUUAUUUGUGUGUUAAUCUUCUAGUUUAGUAGGUUUGUCGAAUGUAACUGAGGUGGCUUCUUAUUUUUUCCCAUUCUGUACAUCUAACCAAGUUGUUUUAUUCUUGCUCUUUCAGUGUUUUCUGUACUGUUAGUCAUUACUGUAAUUCUUACUAUUACUGUGUUGUUAUGUGCUGAGUGAGAAAUAUUGCAUUAUAUAUCGUUAUAUAUUAUUAUUUAUAAGUUAUCUUGUCACCAUAGUUAAGUUGCUUUUAGCAUAGAACUAAGUUGAGUGGCCAGAUUAGCCUAAGUUGGAUUCUGAUUUUUGCAGUGCGGAAUUGUUUUUCUUUGGUUCAAUGUCCCUUUUCCCAAUUAAGUUGUCUUGUCAUUGUAGUUAAGUUGCUUUGAACAUAGAACUAAAUUGAUUAUGCUUACAAAAGCAUACGUCAUUGUAGUUAUGGUGCUUAGUUGUUUCCUCUCCUGAUGUAAUUUGCUUUUCAAAUAGCAACUAAGUUACAUACUGGCUUGACCUGAGUUGAUUCUUCCAAAUAACUUCAAAUUUUUCUUCAAACUAAGUUUCUUAAACUCUCUUUUUACUAAGUUGGUAUCUGAACCAACCUAACUUGCAUACAAUCUUCAGAAAAUUCUAGCUAUAUUUGUGCAAUAUAGCUAGGUUUUCUUUCUCCAUUAAGCAACAUAAAUAAGUUACUGGUUUUAAGUAAGUUGAAUUUGAAUUCAAAGAGUUGAAUGGUGAAAGUAAUUAAGUUUUUUUUCAUCUAGUGGUCCCAUCUUUAAUCGGAAUUAUAGUCCCAACAUUUUUUGCUACCUCGAAGUUGCAUAACCUCAUUUUACUAACUUGGUCUCUAAACCAACCUGACUCGCAUAACAGCUUCCAAGAUUUUGUAGUUAUGUUUUUACAGUCAAGCUAGAAUUCUUGUUAUGUUUUAACAUUUUUUUGGUUUAAGUAAGUUGACACGCCUUCAUACUAAAGUUGCACAAAGAAAGUAAUUAAGUUGUUUGCAUUUGGUAGUCCCAUAUUUUUUGGGUAUCCUAAACUUGGUUCACCGAAAUUUACUAAGUUGGUGUCUAAACCACAAUAACUUGCAAAAUAGCUUGAAAAAAAAUAUAGAUAGGCUUUUACAAUGUUCCUUGGCUUCUUAUUUUUUCCCAUUAAGCAACAUAAAUAAGUUUGAUUACUGGUUUAACUAAGUUGGAUAGUCAAAGUAGUUAAAUUGAUUUUCCUUGCUAAUUACAACAACAUUAAGCAGUACCAGCUUUUUGGUUCCGCAAAGUUGGUUAACCACAUUUUACUAAGUUAGUGUCUAAACCACAAUAGCUGGGUUAAGUAAGUUGGAUUUGUCUUCAUACUGAAGUUGGAGUCAAAGUAAUUAAGUUGUUUUUUCUUGCUACUUACUUCAACAUUACGCAGUCCCAGCUUUUUUGUUCCGCAAAGUUGGUUAACCAGGUUUUACUAAGUUGGUGUGUAAACCACAAUAGCUUGCAAACUAGCUUCAUAAAACUAACUUAUCUACUUAAGGGUGGGGCUGUUUUUUUACUCCGAUGACAAUGCUCUUGGGAUUUAUACAUAACCUAGGUCGUAUCAUGUUUUGUUAUCUACAUACAACUAAGGUACUGAGGUGUUUUUCGUCUCCAAUGUUUUCUUCUUGAUAAGGACAUGGGUAUGACCUAAGUAUGUAAGCAACUAAUUAUGCUUUUUUUUUGGUCUACCAUGCAUCUAUGUUGUUUGAAGAUUUGUUGCUUUGUUUCUGUGAAAUAUGCAUCAUGAUUGAAUACAACCUAGGUUAGUUUUUGGAUGUUUAUGUUAAGUGCAUAAUCAGUUCGCAAUUUGGCCUGCAAAGUCCAACUAAGAUGAUGGAGGUUGUUCUUGUUACUAGUUACAUGCAUAGGUACCUGCAAAGUUGACCCGUGCUUGUUGUCCGUAAGUUGUAUCACCUACAAUUCCUUGUUGAUGUAAGGGUUUUCACCUUGUUCUUCCUGUCAAUGUCCUGUAAUUCCUUUCUUUUACUGCAGAUGACCAUGCUUGGGAUAAGUUUGCCGGACAAGCAGUUAUUAGCUAAAAGAAGGUGUUGGUUCCACCAUAAGAGACAGUCUUUUUGUUGGGAUGGCGAGGACUGAAGAGUUCGUAUCUUCGAUGUUGCCUCAGCUUUUUCAAUGAGACCCGAGGAGCAACUCACGUGCC